UACAGAGGGGGCAAGCGUUAUUCGGAAUUAUUGGGCGUAAAGGGCGCGUAGGCGGCCUGGCAAGUGGAAGGUGAAAUCCCUCGGCUUAACCGAGGAACUGCCCUCCAAACUGCUUGGCUUGAGUCCGGGAGAGGUGAGUGGAAUUCCCAGUGUAGCGGUGAAAUGCGUAGAUAUUGGGAGGAACACCAGUGGCGAAGGCGGCUCACUGGCCCGGUACUGACGCUGAGGCGCGAAAGCGUGGGGAGCAAACAGG
rnacentral:rRNA from 1 species